GCGGUAAUACCAGCUCUCCGAGUGGUGAGGACGAUUAUUGGGCUCAAAGCGUUCGUAGCCGGCUUAACAAGUCUUCCGUUAAAUCCAACGAUUUAAUCGUUGGUCUGCGGGAGAUACUGUUGGGCUAGGAGGCGGGAGAAGCCGACGGUAUUCUCGGGGUAGGGGUGAAAUCCUGUAAUCCCGG
rnacentral:rRNA from 1 species